rfam:Triticum aestivum genome assembly, contig: Triticum_aestivum_CS42_TGACv1_scaffold_271932_3DS
UUUCUACUCCCUCCAUCCCAAAAUUCUUGUCUUAGAUUUGUCUAAAUACGAUCCGUAUCUAGACAAAUCUAAGACAAGAGUUUUGGGAUGGAGGGAGCAGAAU